AGAAACUUAGGUUACAAUUAAACCAAAGGCCUUCAAAGCCAUAAACAAGAAAUUCAACCUUCUUAGUUUCUG
rnacentral:tRNA from 1 species